rnacentral:misc_RNA from 1 species
AACGCACGAGACCUGCGGACCUGCGGAGGGAUCAUUAAUGAGAAGCUGCCCCUCGUGGGUAGACCUCCCACCCUCUGUGAACUUACCUUUGUUGCUUUGGCAGGCCCGUCCUCUGGACCGCCGGCUUCGGCUGGCCCGCGCCUGCCAGAGGAUUCCAAACCCUGUCUGUCAGUGUUGUCUGAGUCUAUAUGAAAUCGUUAAAACUUUUAACAAUGGAUCUCUAGAUCGGAAGAGCACACG